CCACACCGGAAGAUCACACCAUCCCCCACUGUUACAAGGGUGAAGAUCUGUUAGAUAUAAAAGUUAAGGUGGAAGAAGAAGAAGAGAGGUGUGUGAGUGAUGAUCAGCAGGCAAUGGAGGAGGAUGGAAUAAUUAAGCUAAUUCUAAAGGAAGACACUCCUACAGAGAUCCGCACAGCAGAUAAGAAGAUUUCCUGUACUGACUGCGGGAAGUGUUUCCAUACUAAAACCAAACUUAAUGUGCAUAAGAGAUCUCACACAGGGGAAAAACCGUAUUCCUGUCCUGAGUGUGGGAAAUGUUUUUCACAGAAUGCCAAUCU